rnacentral:rRNA from 1 species
UGUGUGUUAGUGGAAGCGUCUGGAAAGGCGCGCGAUACAGGGUGACAGCCCCGUACACAAAAAUGCACAUGCUGUGAGCUCGAUGAGUAGGGCGGGACACGUGGUAUCCUGUCUGAAUAUGGGGGGACCAUCCUCCAAGGCUAAAUACUCCUGACUGACCGAUAGUGAACCAGUACCGUGAGGGAAAGGCGAAAAGAACCCCGGCGAGGGGAGUGAAAAAGAACCUGAAACCGUGUACGUACAAGCAGUGGGAGCACGCUUCGGCGUGUGACUGCGUACCUUUUGUAUAAUGGGUCAGCGACUUAUAUUCUGUAGCAAGGUUAACCGAAUAGGGGAGCCGAAGGGAAACCGAGUCUUAACUGGGCGUUAAGUUGCAGGGUAUAGACCCGAAACCCGGUGAUCUAGCCAUGGGCAGGUUGAAGGUUGGGUAACACUAACUGGAGGACCGAACCGACUAAUGUUGAAAAAUUAGCGGAUGACUUGUGGCUGGGGGUGAAAGGCCAAUCAAACCGGGAGAUAGCUGGUUCUCCCCGAAAGCUAUUUAGGUAGCGCCUCGUGAAUUCAUCUCCGGGGGUAGAGCACUGUUUCGGCAAGGGGGUCAUCCCGACUUACCAACCCGAUGCAAACUGCGAAUACCGGAGAAUGUUAUCACGGGAGACACACGGCGGGUGCUAACGUCCGUCGUGAAGAGGGAAACAACCCAGACCGCCAGCUAAGGUCCCAAAGUCAUGGUUAAGUGGGAAACGAUGUGGGAAGGCCCAGACAGCCAGGAUGUUGGCUUAGAAGCAGCCAUCAUUUAAAGAAAGCGUAAUAGCUCACUGGUCGAGUCGGCCUGCGCGGAAGAUGUAACGGGGCUAAACCAUGCACCGAAGCUGCGGCAGCGACACUGUGUGUUGUUGGGUAGGGGAGCGU